rnacentral:lncRNA from 1 species
CUGAAACAAAGGGCUAAAAAUAGAGCGGGAAUGGGGCAAUCCAGGGCUGCGCUGUGACGCUCCUCGCCCGGCAUACGGCGGCCGGCAGGGGCCCAGUUUUUUUCUCAGUAGGGUCAAGGCAAGCGGUGAUUCUUAGGAGGAGAGAACCACGCUCCUCCCCCCCCCCCCCCCCCGGGCCGCUUCCUCAGCGAACUCUCAGUGAGCCUGCGCGGGAGGCGGUUCUUUUUAUAACCGUGCCCGGGAGAAUGAGGCUACUUUGGGAAUAGUCCCCAGCAUGUUUUCUGAGAGACCCUUUUAGCCCGCCAGUCCAUAUUAUUGAGUCUGCUCCUAGGCAGAUGCCUCCUAGCUCCGUGCUACGUUCCUGUGCUGUAGGGGCCCUUUCCAGGAUAGGUGGCUGUGGUGUGGACAAUGAAACCAACUCACCUCAAAAGCCCAGGACUAAGAUCACCAUGACCGAAGGUUUGUGAGGAUCAAACCAAAAUGUGACCUUUCGUUGAAUGAGCUGCUGGUUCAAUGGCCUGACAUCAAUUUACUGAUCUUUCAUAGUCUUGUUUCUCUGAGAGGAGCUGGAGACUUCUGUUUGUGAGGUAUAUAGCUAAUCCAAAGAAAAUCAGUUUUAAACUUUGUUUUGUUUUCAUCUCAAACAGAUUUCAGAAUAUAUUACUUUAACAGAUUUUUGUCUUGGUGCCAGUAAGUGAAAAGUUAUUAAUAAGUUUAGUUACAAGAUUAGCUUUAAAUGACUAUAUUGUAGAAAUUAGAGCUGG